UUGACAUAUAAUCACAAAAGAAAGUUGGUUUCCCAACACAUAUUUGUUUAUGGUUACACAUCAAGCAGUUACAGAGCAACAUUAGGAUUUAUAUGAAGUCAGGAUUCUGGCCAUUGGAUGAAUGGUCUCCAGGUCUCCAAACAGACUCUCCAGAAUGGCAUUAGCAAUAGGGAGCAUCAUGGCUGUGGUGGCGGUGUUGCUAAGCCACAUGGACAGGAACGACGAGUGAGGACCUUUAGGGCGAUUCUGCGAUGCAGGCCCCACUCCUCGAUGGACGACGCCAUCACAAGACCACUGAGGAAAAGAAAAUUGGUUUCCAGGAAGUACUGAGGACAGACUGUUUUGGAUGGUAGAAUUCCCAGAGUUGGGAAAAGGCAGACCGGUAGCAUUGCCGUGACGGCCAGAGGAAGGGCCUCUGUGCACCAAAACAUAGCCAUCAGCACCACCACAUAAAGACAUUUUCCCUCCUAAAAGAUAAGGAACAUGUGGUUAUUAAUCUGUAGCCAGGGGGAGAAAUAGAAUGAAGUAAAGUGACUUUGUCAGAAAGAGAGAAAAUGUAUCCAUGUGCACCUGUGUGCAUAAGAGGAAUGCUUCUGUAGUUAAACACAAUGCAUAAUGAUUAGUCCACAGUGAUUGCUAAAAAUAUAGUUUAAAAUCAAUACAUCAAUGGCUGGUUUAAUGAAAUAUAAAAUAAUAACAUAAACACAUUUUUUAGAUUUAGGUUAGUGAGACGUGGCUGCAGCUAAUAUGCUACUUGUAGUAUCUUUUAUAUAAGUAGGCAAACCCUUCAUGAUUCUACUCCACUACAUUUAAAACAGGGAAAUGUCUAUCAUCUAUUAACACUUAUAGUUACAAAUGACUUUUUACAUAAAAACAUGAUUGAAAAACAUGAUAUGCUUCUUAGGUAUGAUAGGAUGCAGAAGUACUAAUUCAGUAGUAUACAAAU